rnacentral:lncRNA from 1 species
AGUCCUGGGCGCGCACAAACCCGGAAGCGGAUCGCGUGGAGUGAAGGUCCUACCACGGCGCGUGAGUUUUGCUCUGCCUUGGAUUAAGUCUGCACUUCCCAGGUCCCCGGCGCUUCUGCCCCUGGGACGUGGGAUCCCCACGGACCUGGAAAUUCUCGCCUGUCUUCCCUUCACCCAGAGCAAAUUGAGACGUCCCGGCCUCGCCCCUGAGCUCUACAAUCCUGUGUCCAGUUGUCUCCUCAGCUGUCUCCUGGGUCAUCAAACAGGCAUCCCCACCUUCAGGUGUCCACGAGUGGCUUUCUAAACCCCCAAACACAUUUCCUUGCAGUCUGCACAUCUCAGAUGAGGGUGACUACGUACUUCCGGAAACGGCCGAACUUGACAGCAUGUAUUUUAAAUUUGUGAAAUAAAUUACUUUAUUUGUAAGUGUUGUAAUUUAUAAUAUAAAGAGAAACUUAGAUGUAUACGUGAAAAGAGUGAGAAGAUACAUCACUUCCAAUUUUUGUUUGUUUGUUUGUUUUUUUGAGAGGAAUUUUCACUCUUGUGGCUGAGGCUGGAGUGCAAUGCCAUGAUAUCAGCUCACUGCAACCUCUGACUCCU